GACGUGGGGAGGGGUUGGUGGUGGCGACCGUUGCACCGGGGCGGUCGUGUUGCCCUGCCCUCGGCGGGCGGCGGUGCCGUGGGGAGCGAGGAGCGGGGCCGGCCCCACGCGGCUGUUAGACGCCUCAGGGAAGGCCUUGCGUGGGCUCUGGGAUAGGUGAGCAAGGCUGUCUGCUUGGGCAUGCAGGCAGGAGGAGCCAGUGUCGGUGAGGAGAUGAUGAGUUCGGGAUAGAAGGAAGAACGCCAGCACCAGAGGACUUGAUCCACAAAAUCGUGAAGUCCUUUUACAGGAAACAGUUAGAGGAACGGGUGGCAGAGAAGAACAGGCAAUUUGAUCAGACAUAAUCCACCAACAGAUGUACUCUUCACUCCAAAGCAAGAUGUUACCUGACUGCCAACAUCAUGUGGCACUGUCAAAGAAGAUGCUGUUCUUUAAGGAUGAGCUUAUUACUGUCAUCUCUGGUAUAUAUUGUUUAUUUGCACUUAAGCAGAAGAAAAGUGUCGCCUAUGUCAUGUAGCAUCUUCUUACAGAAACCUGGGGAAAUUCAGAACUGGAUUUUAACUCUGUUCACAUUACUUUGCAUAUUUGGUUUCCUUAAAUAUGCAACUUACAGGAUACUUGGUGGUUGUGGAUUAGAAGUGAUUAAAACUUGUUUUCUUCUAGUAUGUACAGCUCCUGAUCUCACUGAAAGUAUCUGUGGUAAUAUAUUUUGUAAAAGUUUGCUUUUCAUUUCUAAUGACUUUCUCUUGUUGCUGGCUGCAGCAUGGGAAAAAGAAAAUCACACAAGCAUCUACUGCUGUCAUUCUGAAAGCUUCUGACACACAGGGAAGGAACAAACUUCAAAAUGUACCACUGCCUCCCAGAUAUCAUGAGCACUGGUAUUCAGACUAAAAGAUAAGGAGAGUUACAUGUUGGUUGUGCAUCAGUGCAUAGCCACACUCUACUCAUCAAGGUCAAUCUUGAUAGAACACUGAAAAUGCAAAGAAUCUUACAGAAAUGAAUGGGAAAUAAAUGAUUAAGUUUACUAAGUUUCAA